AUUACCCCAGUCAGACUUGCCUUCUGUACCUGCUUUGAGUGAUUAUAGGUCGGGAGGCAGUUUUUGGAGCACCCUGCAGUAAUUUCCCUGCUGGCGGGGGGGGCAGCGGGAGUUGCUUUGCUGUUAGGUGGAAGCAGGUGCUUCUCCACGCUGUGUGCUUGCCAAGUGUGACCCAGUUCAGAGGUGAAAACGAUGAAAAUUUAAUUGAGUAAAAGGUUGUGGGACAGACCCAUUCUUGGUGUAAUAGAUUAUGCCAAAAUAAUUUUUCUUACAUUGGUGUCCCUGGUUCUGGGCUUCUCUUCCUUCCCCAGUAAUGAAAUCCUCAUUUAUACAGGUGAAGUCGUGUACAAAUGCACACCAUGCAUGGAAGUAUCUGUUCGUGUGCUUUGCUGCGCCCUAUCUGAAAUAUGGCAUUUUAAAGCCACCACAACACUUAAUAAUAGUUAUUCCACAGGAAACUUCAGAAGAAUGCAAAUGUCUGUCCAGAUAAUUCUUGCAGUCCCUGCAUCAUUUGGGGUAGUCCUUGGUACCUCAGAUGUUGACUGGAUCUGAGAAGUCAGUCCUUACCCCAAAGGUGUUACAGUUUUGGUGGAAAAUCAGCACGUGUUCGUAGUUUACUGAGCAUGUCCAGAGUGGCGUGCUUCUCUGUAGGGGGCCCGAUAUAAAAAGCAACUCUUUGGAAUAGGGAUUUUUGUAAGGCUAGCUCCACAGUCUGUUUUUUUCCUUGAACUGGAUAAAGGCAGCAUGUCCACAGCACACCGCCUGCCCGUGCUUUGCUGGAGGCUUGGUGACCUCGCCCUCUGUACAGGAGCAAUGGGCUGGUGUCCUCAGGAGCGUGUGGCUGGGAGUCUGUAAUUGGUAGGGAAUCCUCACAAAAGGAAAUCUGAUUCAUUUACUCUAAAUAUUUAACUGCAAUUUUCUUACUUUAACACCAUCCUAUUUUACUGCACUAUUGCAUCUUGCCUCCAAAAUUAAUAGUUAACCACUGAGAAAGACAGGUCUGGCAGAAUGGAAAUCAGGCAUUAUAUUAUCCCAUGAGUCAUGUGCAUACAGAGAACCAAACAAGUGUCAGCCAAUGGCUUUGAGCCCAAAAUAUGUCAAAGAGGAGAUGUGUAUCUUCAUUUAUAUUAAGUAGAUAGAAAGCGUGUUGCUGUUCCCAUUAAGCUGGUUGGAGCCCUGCCACUGGCUGCGGUGGGAACAGGAUGGGCCCAUGCAGCAGGAGCUGGCUCUGGCUACCUGCGCUCACCGUAGUUUCUGUGCAGUAAGGGCAGCUUCUAUUCUAACAGUUGUUCUUAGUUAGCAAGGAGUUUGGAGACCUGCCCUGGUCUAGAUGUGAUUCCUUUCUUUGUCAGGUGAAUUGAUUUCUCCUUUGAAUUAUGAGGAUGCACCGUAGUAAGCAGCAGCACGGCCUUUCAGAGUGCAGAGCGCAGAGAGUGGGGAGAGAGUGACUGAUGGGAGGAUCAGCACAGCUCAUUUCCUCAGCAGGGUUUUUGUGAUUUGUAACUAUUUACAUUUUUGAAAGCUGCAUUUAGCAAUUGACCCUGCUUUAUGCAUUCAGACCACUUUAUUUGGCAGAAUUUCAGUGGAAUCAGGGGAAGUCUUUACUGAGUAAAUGUCUCCAAGAUGUGACUUGUCCCUCAGGAAGAGGGGAUGAUACGAAUAGCAGUGAUACACCCCAACCAGGGACUGGGACAUCAGGGCUGCUGCUGAGCCGCUGCUGGUCAGUGGGUAUCACAUGCCUGAGCUUUCACGUACAGCCAUAUGCUCAUCUGUUGCAUACGUGUUUUGUUUUUGUUGUGUUGUCAUUGUAUGUUAGGUCUUAAUUCUCCUUUGUGGGGCAGAAUUCAGUUUCAUGUGGGGAUUGGAGGCCUGGAAACGUAUACUCACUGACUUCAGAAAAAUCAUUUUCACGUUUUUAUUGAUGUGUCAGUUCAGUUAAAAUACUGUUGGUAAAGUUGGGCUGAAAUGAGUAUUUGUUGUUGACUCAUAGUUGUACAAAUUAGGAUUAAGCCUUCUCAUAAAGUAGUAUAAAAUCUGGAAGUCUGUGUGCAAGUGCUGCUUGCUUUGUUCCAGUCAGCAGCCCUCCUCUGUUUACUGGAACUCAGGCUCAGUACCAAAAAAAUGGGACUGCUGGUGUUCUCAUACAGGCAUCCUCAGCAGUUUUUGACCUGCAGUUGGUUACAGGAUUGACUUGUUUGCAGUGAAACAGGUGAGGGGGGGAUUGCGUCUGUGUGCAGUGGAAGUAAGGCUUAGAGUCCCUAGUUUUGAUUUUAAGAACGGGUUAUUUGGCUCACUAAGUGAGGCAGGGAUAUAGCAAAAGUAUUGGCAGUAUUUAUUUCAAAAAGUCAUAGUGCAAUUACCACAUGAAAGCACCAAGUUUUUAUUCUAAGUGGACAUGUAGGUCAUGUAAAUACAGCUCUGGCUGUACUGCUCUUUGUUUACAUUGUGGGCAACAACAUUUGCAAAUAUCGCAUCAAGAAUUCUGAGCCGAUACAACUAAUUUAAAAACAGCCUUUGCUAAGGCAGAUUCCAAGUGAAUAUUUCAUGAGAGCUGUAACAAUGUGUGGGUCAUUCUGUAAUCUGUGGGUGCCAUUUGUGCUUUUGGUUAUCUUUUGUAAUUUGAUGGUUGAAUGGCGUUGGAAAUUGGAAUUUUUUACCUACCAGUAACGUAAUAGCUUUUUAAUGCUUGUGUGUGUGUGAACGAUUUCCUUAAAAUUAUAAACAGUGACAGAAGUUUGGUGAUCUUGUUGGUGUAGGCAGUGCUAUGCAGGAGCUGGGCAUGUCUGCAGUGCUCCGUCUGUGACCUGAGUUAGCCCUGCAAGAGCUCGUGGGCCACGCUGAGGGUUUUUGUAUGCUUUUUGCAGCAGGUGAUGUUUGCUCUUCUCUUUCUGCAGCUGUAGGAAAAAAAUCAAAUAAUGCGAAUGUUUUAGGGCUCAUGUGAGCAGUAGGUAUUUUGGUAUCUGUGUUCCCUGCUUGUCACUGAGGGUGUUCCUUGAAGGCUUGCACACUGCAGUGCCGGACGCCUUCCCUGUGGAUUGCAGUUGUCCUCUCAUGCCGUCACUACGCGCUGCUGGUUACUGAGGGAGCGCUCCCUGGGCGUGCUGCUGCUGGGGAGGAGCUCUUGGUGCUCUUGGUGCUGCUGGCUCUGUGGGCCGUGGUGGGGCUGAGGUGGGAGCUGUGCUGCCGGCUCUGGCCUGCGACCUGCAGUGUUCAGAAGAAAAUGGGAUAUACCGAGGGGAGGUUAGAAAAGAGAAAAGGCAGACAGCAGCUGUUGAGGUGGAGGGGCGAGAAGAUUCAGAGUUGAUGCUGCUGGCAGCAGGCCUAGCUGGAAUGGGAGCAAGGCUCCAAAGGAGGGGGAUCCAGGCCAGGGGACAGCGAGAUGUACAACAGCUUCUGUUUGAAGACCCAGCACUUGCAUAGGGCUCCAGCCAGAGCCUGAUGGGUGCAGUGUGAUGGCAGGCAGGCAGUAGGCAUGCUGAGGUUGCUAUUUCGUUAGCUUUCAUGCUAUAUAACAUCAUCUGUUUAUUUAGAAAAGCGUGUUUUUCGCCCCAGUCGGAGUCAUUUCCCGUGAAAAGCAAAGCUCUCUUGCUGGGAGGACUGCUGGGUUCUGUGAAACACUAGAGCGACCAGAAAAGUUACAGAAAAUUUUGAAACAUAGGGGAAUCCUUCCCUGCAUUUCUUCCAUCACCCACAUACGUCCCAGAAUGCCAGUGUGAUAGGGGAGAGCAGGGCAAGCAUACAGUUCAUGUCUGGGCUGUGUGCACGUCCUGGGCAGCUGUUUGUGAUGUCCAGUGUGGGCUGUACCCCCACCAACAUGUGCAGCUGCCGGCACGUACCACCAAAGUGUGGCACAUCAGCUUUUAUAGACAAUUUGUUAGUUAGAGUUGAAAAUGCAAAGCUACUUCUGAUCUUAGAGUAGCAAACUUGCCCUGUAAGCAACUUUCUAGAUUUCACGUAUGACUGCAUUAGUAGAGUCUAUAAUCUGUUGGCAGUUACGGCUGCUAGAGCUUUGCAAUUUCGUUAAUUUUAUGUGCUAGUAAAUGGCUCAUGGGCAGCUCGCUCUUACCAACCAAGGCACUAGUACUGACUAAAGAAUCAGGAGACUUAAUGAAAGAGAAUGAAAUGUGGAGAUCUUUUUGUUCAACUUCAUCUUUUGCUCUUCUAGCUUAGUGCACUUGAGUGAGGUUUUCAAGUUUUUCAUUAUAUUCGUGCUCUUUAAUAAAAACAUACUGAUUCUCAUGAGCCUGGGGGGACAUCGUUUGCCUUGAGAACUGUAGUCAGGUUGUAAGUUGUCGAUACUGCUGCGUGUCGUCCUGCUAGCAGGGCUGAGCUGAUGGCUGUGAAUUGGGCAGCAUGCAUCUCGGUGCAGUGCUGCGGAUACCCUGGGGCUCCAGCCUCCAGCUGGUCAGCAUCACACAAUUGCUACUAGUGGGUGGUGAGAAACACCUGUGAGGGGAGCACUCUCAUCCCAGGUGUGCCGGGUGCUGGCAGGCAGGGGCUGGUUGUGUGUGCCAGGCACCAAACAGUCACAGAGGGCAACAAGCCCAGGCUACCUUAACUGCAAACGAGUGACUCAGCUGUUUCUGCAAAGUUUGGAGUUUCAGCAGAAUAUUUCUUUUUCCGCUAUGCUGACAGCUUUUCCACCCACGUAUUGCAAACGUGGCUUUGUGCCAUGGAGGUAUUUUAGGAUUAUAAAGCGUAGUGUAAAUUUUUAGAGUUACAUAUGAAAAAAGGUGCCUUCUGGAUCUCGAAAUAUGUAGGUUGUAUGUAGACUGGGGGAGUAGGGGAGCUCUUUCUAAACCCUAAGGCUUGGAGGAGAUAGAUCCCCAUCUGUCAAUCAUCUGUUUUUAUUUAUUCCACUGAAAACCAGGCAGUGUGUUCAGACGUCCUGUAUCUACAGAAAUAGAAUGCUCUGAAAUCCCCCGGAGUUUUGGCAGAGCUUUUAUUGUGGGCAGUUACUCAUUCACACACCUGGUACGUACUGUUGGUCCUGUUAUUGUAAGGCAUUCCCAAACAGUCCUGCAGGGAAAAUAAACUGCAGAGAGAUAUACAGGAAAUUAACCAUAAUAAAACGCAAAAGGUUUCUUAAUCUGUCAAGUGUAUUGCAGUAUUCAGUGAGUUACUGUACUCAGCUGAAGAUGAAAUUGGAUGGAGUAUGUCUGUGAUGUUACUGCAGCUCAUUGAGACACAUGCAGAUACAGCCAGUGUACUCCAAGCCGGUCCUUUGCCUGUCCUCACGGCUGUGAGGCCGUGCUCCUUGCUGUCAGUCUGGGACCUCUGCAUGGAUCAGGCAUGGCAGGGCUGACUGUGGGGGAGGACAGCCAGGAGCUGGGGUCGUGCUCGGUCAUUUCUGUGCUCAGGCAGCCAGCUGUGGAAUCCAAAGGUUUGCUCUGUUGUCACAAACUUUUUAUGCCACAAAUGCUGAUGAGGCAGCAAAAGCCGCUAUCAAGGGCCUCACCACAUCAUGGGAAUGGAGAAGAGAAAGAGCAGAAAUCCAGAGAAGUGCUGUUAGUGACCAGUAACCGCCAGGGCAUGGCGGAUGGCUCUUGUGAAGCUGGCAAGGCCACGGCUUCUCUAGACUCUCUGUCAGCUGGAGGGGCAGUAAUUCAUUGGUGAUGUCUGCAGCAGUCCUCAGCUCGCUUUGCUUGUUGGAUUUUGGGGUUUGGGUCUCUGUUUUGUUUUGGUCUUUUAUGAAGUUACUUCCAAAGAAAAGAUAUAAUAGAAUAUGACAGCAUAUAUAUUAAGCAUAAAAGCAUUAUGUUCCUCUGGGAAUGAAAUGCAAAUGAAAUUCCUCUGAAAUGCAACCCCACCGCUGCCAUGAGUGCCUGUCGGCAGGUCAGAUCUCUGCGGUCAUGCUGGGUGGGUCUUGGGGAACCAAAGGGACAAGUGACUUUUGUCCCUGGCCAGCAGGAAGCCACCAGGCACAGAGACAAGCUCUCCCUGUUUCACCCUCAGGCUGCCAGCGGGCCAGGAAACAAGUCCUCCCAGCACCUUGCGCUGUGUGCUGUCACGCUGUCCGCGUCACAACAGGGCAGCCUGGCUCCACCACUGCUCCUUCAGGGUCACAAGGAAGGGAAACAGUCCUGCUCCAUUGCUGGAGCACUGGCUUGGCAGCCUUUAUCUGUAGGCUGAGAAUGGGGAUUUGUGAGCCUGAAAUUCAAAGUGAGACUGGUGGAUGUGAGUGCCAUGGGAACCAGAGCAAGCUGGAGGUUUACACGGAUCCCCGCAGGGUUAGGGCUGCUGAGUUUCAUAUGGUGCUAGAAAAAAACAGUGUCUCUGGAAUAAAAAUCUGUCUGUGUCUCGAGGCAGCUGUGGGCACCUCCAGCCAGCACCUGAUUCACUCACGAACAGUUACCUGCGAGGCAUCUCAGCUGGCAGACACUUGUCCGAGGCGCCGGAGGCUGCAUGGGCUGUUUUCAGUUUAAUCUAUUUUUAAUGUGGCGCCUUAUUCCAAACUGCUGAGUUCUCACAUUUCCAAGCCGUCGUGGUAAUAGGAUUGUGCAGCCUUAUUGGCUAGAGUUUUCCACCCCCAGUGCCAAAAGUUAGGCUCCUAAAUCCAUAUUUAAAUGCCUAAAUGAGGCUGACGAAUCCUGCAGGAGUCAGUAGGAACUGGACGUGGUCUGCACCUUGGAAAAUAACCAGGCUAUUGGGUGUGUGAGCAACGCCUUGCUGUAGGCACCCAGAUGUUGUGUUUUUAUCCAGAAUGGCUGUGUGUGUCAGUGUGAAGGAGGGAGGUGAGAUUAGUGCAAACAGGAGCUUUGUUGGGAAUUUGGAAACGGGAUACACUGGGAAUCAUAGCAGGUGCCCAUCUCUUGCGUUGGCUUCAUGUCUGCACUACUUCCGUACCCACGAUCUAGCACUGCGUAUUUUUACUCUGCUACCUUCUUCUGCUAUUUCUAUUUGUAGCACCCUGCUAGACUUGUUUCCAAGCCAAUCCAAAAUUCUUCUGAAACUCCCUUUGCUAACAGCAGCAUGAAAGCAGAACUCCGCAGUGGCUGCAGCAAUGGCAGGGGUUUGCUUUUAGCUGAGUGGUAUCGGUCACUUCAGCCUUUUGAGUUGAACUGAGAAUGGCAAUGCUAUCUGCCAAGAGAAGCAGCUUGUAAAAGUUGUAUGAUGUUGCUUUUUUCAUGGCAGACCUGAAAAAUUCUGUACAUUAAACUUCCAGCCAACGCUUGAUAUACAUUUCCCUGAUUGCUUUGUGUGAAAGGCUUGUUUUCAUGUUAGUACUGCAGGGUAACACAUAAGACCAUGGAAGUACAAUGCGCUUUCGUCCAGAUGAGGCAGAAUUUAUUUAGCUUGAAAGAGUGUUUUAUUGCAGUAUGAAAGUGUCACUUCAGGUUUUUAUCCUGUUUUCUACAGAGGAGGAAUAAACUGUUUUCCAGGGUCUCACCAGAAGAUAAAAUUCCCGUGGCUAGUCAAUGGCAAUGUGCUGGAGACUUGGAAAGCUUCAGCAAACCACAUCCUUUCACCCAGAGAGCAUGGAUAGAGCGGAGGAACCUCGUUCUGGUGGCUUUGGGUACCCCAUUACCCUGACCCAUCAUAGUGCUAGCUGACUGCUGGCCCAGGAGCACCAGGGAUGUGAGCAUUGGGCGCAGUGCUGUGCAGCCUUAAGAGCCACACCCUGAAGCCAAGAGCAGAGCUGAUGUGCUGAGGCUUCCCAAACAGUGUUUGAUGUCCAGAGGACACCCUGAAAAUGCGGCUGUUUCUGCAAUCUCCUUCCAUUCUCAGCUCCCUUGCCAUCUCAUCUGAAAACAGAAACUUCAUGCAUGCUUCAUGCUUGUAUCCUCUGAGGGCUUCCAGGGUCUCCCCAGGGACAGAGCCAGCAAUCCUGCUGAAAUAAGAGAGUGCUACUCCCUCCUCCUGGCUGGUAUCAGUCUUCUAAGUCACUAUCAUUUAUUUUAGAGCAUUCACUGGGGAAGUGAGUGACCUGAGUUCAGUGCGUUCCUCAAUCUGCUCAUCUCUCACUUCCCAUGAGACGGUCUAAAAGCCAGCCCCCAGUUAUUCUGGGUGAAACCCUUUGGCAUGAAACCAUGCCUCCCAGUAAUGGGGUGUUUCUGCUUCCUGUCCCACUGUUGGUCAGCAGGUUGUUUCAGAGUGAAGUGAUCAGGGUUUCGUGUUGUGAGGAACCCAGGGUACAGCUGUCUCACUGGAAGCUGGAUUGCCAGACCCCACUCCUCUGGGCAUUCAGAGAAGACAUCCCUCUGUCUCUGUGUGCCUGUGAAUGAGAAUGGAAAAAUGCAGCUCCUUGGAGAUGCUGUGCUGGGCUGGUGGGGGAGCAGAAAGUUUGCAUGUGAAUCAGAGAUAGACCAGAGAGUGCAGGUGACUGAGGGGGAGGGACCUUGCUGAAACUGGAAUUCAGUUCCGAAGUCAGGUUUAUGAACUGUCCAGUUUUAGGUAUUUGAUUGGUGGUAACUCCUUGAAGCUUGUCUCUGCUUUUGGAUCUGCAUCCAGGGAUCCUAGUGGAUCAGCCAGGAUCUCUACUGCUGCUCUGAUAAACGUUUCCAACAUUUAUUAAAUGUGCUCUCUGACGUUCUUUUGUGGAGACAGUAAUUUGACAGUCAUCACGUGAGAAACUCUGAAUUUGCCAUCUGGCCUGGCAAGACUUAGUUCUUCUCACCAUUAAUUAAACUGACGUUACUGCACGCUUUUAUGAUGGUGGUUAUGAUCUGUCCUGCGAUAACACCAGGGCUGGUUCUGAGGCAUGCACAGCACCUUCCACUCUCAUGACGUUUGUGGGUGGUGCAGCCGAGCACCUCUGGACUUCAGUGUCAGCUCUAAUAACUGAGUUUCAGGGCCCCACUCAGGCACCUUCCUCUGGAGCGGGUUCUUCUGGUUCUGAGGGGAUGGUUUCACAAGUAGGAAGACAUAGCUGGGGGGAAAAAGGGGGCAGCUGCUUGGCUGUAAUAGAGUUCUAUAACAUGCCCUGACAGGAGACCUUACUGACCACAGCUUCGCCCUGCUUGGUGAGACCGUGACCAUUAAUGGGAAAGUGGAUUGGCAGCAACAGAUAGAGCAGGGAGCAAAAAGAGAGGAAGGAAGUGAAAUAGGACAACAGCCGAAGACAGCUGCGAAAAGCAGGCAGGUACAUCGUGGUGGCGACUGGAGUGUGGAAGAAGGAAACUAAGCUUCUUUGGUGAUGAGGCAAGGUGUCUGUAUCCUAUGUGGAAUGGACACGUGUGGCGGUGCCCAGCAACUUAACAUGUUUGUAAUCCCCUUUCAGACCCAGCUCCAGGUGCUGGAUGGCAGAGUGUUUCCUGUCUUCGGUGGUCUCCAAACUGUGACUUGGCAAAUGAGACUGAGCCUUGAAUGCUCAACUGCUCAGAGUUAACUCAGCAGCUUCAAGAGAUUCAAUAAUAUUUGUUUUUACCCAAAUCCCUCGAAGUCUGAGGGAAUGGAGACAGAAUCAGUUUACUGAGAUGAAAAGCCAAGAAAAGUAAAUCAUCCUUGGGUCAGGGUGAGCUCUCAUUUGAAGAGGCCACAGAUGGCAGAGAUGUUCAUGAAUCAGCAGUUUCACAGACCUCUGCCCAUUCAGGGAGUAAUGCGUGUAAACAAACAUGAAAAUGGCACAGAGCCGCAGAACUUUCCAGAUCCUUCCUGUUCCCUCCAUGCAGUCGAGGGGGCCCUCCUCAGAGGAACCAGAUAGAAGAAAAGAGCUGCUGCCCUUGACUGUGGGCUUGUCCCAGGAUGGUCAUCCUAUACCUGCUUCAGCUGUGUGAGAGCCAAAGGCUAGAGUGACAGCGGGGUGUCCCCUCUUCUCCCAUAGUGCAGCCAGGUAUGCUCUUGAGGACAGGAGGCAGCUGCUGACUGGCCUGGUGGCAGGCGUUUGGAGUUAUCUGAGAUGGAGGGAAGGAAGGAGAGGUGAGGUGAGGACGUGAGCUAUUACACCAUUGCACUGCUGCAGGUGCAGGACAGCUCCUGUACAUGUGGGCUUUGGGAGGUGGGCCUGCCCCUGGUGUGCUCCUGCUCUUUGAUAUGUGCCCUGGAUCCACGCGCCGAUGAGCCUGGGACCUUGGAAGCCCCACAGAGCUCUAGCCUGUCUGGUGUUAGGGACAUUCUUCCCGCAAUUAUCUGAUGUUUGUCAAAUGUUGUGCCAGAAAAUGCAACUAGAGGGCUGUGCUGAGAGCACCCGCUUUGGUAGAUCUGUGUUUGUAUUCUAGGGCCUGCUGGCCAAGCGAUGCUGCCCAAGUGUCAGCCUGGGUAGUGCUUCUACAAGAAGAUAACAUGUAAGUGAUGAGAACUGGCCAAGUCAGUGACUGUGCCUGAAUCGUAGUUGAGACUUUGUCAUGGUUUGAACCAUGACGGGCUUUUUGUGAAUAGUCUGUUUGGGAUGAAGCACAGCCUGAAUCUUCAAACCGUUAUGUGUGAUGACAGCUGUGAGACUUCUGUUGAAGUCACUAGGCAUCAAACAACCAUAAACUUCGGAGUGUGGUUCUGCUGAGGAGAUGCUGCUACUGAGGCUCUGAGACAAAAGGAAGUGAGAGGAAAAUGGACUCUGCCGUUCUCCCAGGAGCAACACCUCACAACGCGCCAAACCUAGCAAUUGUAUGUGAGGAGCAAUUACAGUGGGUGUCACAGGAGAUGUACAGGGACAUCUAAGGCAUUGGGAUUUAUUAUCAGUAAACCAUGUACUUCAAGUUCACUGUGAAGUUGGAGAACAUCUAACCGUGUAAAUGAUCUGAGGGAAUUGGAUGAAGUGAAUUUUGUGACUGUGAAGUUAGACAAGUUAUCAGCCAUGUUUCCAGACAAUAGAGAAGAUCCUGAGAAAGACAUUUCAUGAGAAGUAACUAACUCCUAUAGUAACGAACAGUCAAGAAAGCAGCUGUUUUUAAAAAACAUACAUCCACCAAAUGAUUACAGAUGGGGACAGACAGGUUAUGUGACAUGCUCCAGGUCACAUGAGCAGUGUGUGUCAGAGUGAGAAACAGCACCUGGAUCUCUCAAUUGUGAAGCUGUUGCUCUUGGCGCUGCGUCAUCCCGACUGCAAACAAAACACUGAGGUUGACUUUGCCUGUGUCCUUAUGCCUACAAAUGGUUCUUCUGUGAUACCAGAAGAUGUUGCCCCCAGAUCGUGGCCUGGGGACAAUGUGAACAGCUCUGUUCUUUAUGCUGGUACCUGAGAGCAAUUGCUAGAAGUAACUUGGCUCUUCCCUAUGUUUCGUGUGUGUGCUUGGUGUGCUGAGUGGUUUCCAAAGGAACUUUCUGAGCACUGAAGCAAAUGGGGAAACUGGCUGUGAAGCAGUUGCUGCAGCGUGCUGUGGACCAUCCAUGAAGUCUGUACCACCCCAGUUUGUUUUGGACAGGAGACAAUGUUACAGGCUAUUCUAAAACCAAAAUAAGUGACAUCCACAACAUCCCUAACUUGUUUAUCCAGCACGUCAUUUCAGCACAGAAGACAACCAUGUUGGCCAGAUUGUCUGAGGGUCCCUCAUUGGCUUCGUGACGGAAAGUGGUUGAUUCACCUCCACCCAGCAGUAAUUAGGUGUUGCUGCCUAUGGAAGUUCCCAUGUUUGGCAUCGGACUGAUUAAAGCUGUUCUCCUUUGCCCUGUCUGUCAGACCGUCUAAAAUGUCAAUCCCCCUCCUGCUUGCGAGCUCCCUUCUGGAAAGCCCAAGUGAGCUUUUUCUGAAGUUGGUUCCUUUCCCAGAGUUGUUCUUAAAGGACAUCCCACAGAAAUCUGCUCUCAGCCAGUGCCUGCAGAUGUAGCCCUCUCCCACUUGCAUGAAUGCUGUGCACUUACCUCUCCUGUACCCCGUUAAUGGAUCGAUUACUGGACUGAGCCCAGCUGUGUGAUGGUGCUGGCACACUCAGCAGGAAGCAGCAGUUCUUGCUUUGAGCAUCAGCCAUCACAGAGGACCUGAGCAAUGAACUGAGUGUGUAGAUUUAUUUGCAGGGUGAGGGAGGAGUAAGGUAGGCGCCUUUGACACAUGGAUGGACUGGGAGAAGGGGCUUUGCUGGAUGCCUUAUGACUGCCCGUGGGAGACAGCUGGAAAAGGUCUUCUGUUUCCACCACAUGGUAAGAGCAUCACCUCAGGAGUGUUCCUGCUGCUGCCCACACCCAGCAAAGCCUUGGGCCCAGCCUGGCUCAGUGCUCUGCUCCCAAACUCACAGUGCAAGCAGUGUCACACAGACUGCAGUCCUCAGUGUGACAUCGGCACUGCUGGCCACCACGGAUUAGGCAUGAGCUUUUUCACCCUGCUGAAGGUGCCUUUGGGGUCUUCAACCCAGGUGACAGCAGGUGAAGGCUGACAGCGCCUGCUGCUGUUCAGCUGGAGGGAGCUGAUGGAGCCAGGCUGGAGGGGCAGCUGGGUGACACCACGUAAAGAGCAGCAAGUUGCUGGCCAUCUCAGCAGAGGGGGGAGGGAGGCCAUGACCUGCUGCUCCCCAUUGCAGGCACAGCCUUGGUGGCAAAAUUUGGCUGCAGCAGAUGAGAGAUAAGCCCUGCAUGUAAUCACACCACACAGCCUCCAGGAGAGAAGCGAAGGCUGCAUUCUGCUGUAGGCAGAAUGGCACCCAGCCCCUACCUGCACAGUUGUCAUUGCCAAGGAGACACCAGGUGAACUCAGGAAAAGUGAAACAUCGUGAGAAAAAUGGGGAAUGAACCAGAGAGACAGAAUCUUACAAUAACACCAAUGUAAACACAGGCCUAGUUUUUAUCUUGUGCAGAGAGAUUGUUUUGAGAACAAAUGCAGAGUGAAAUGAAUUCAUAGACCUCUGUACCAGGUGCAAUCAUUAGUCAGUAAAUGAAUUACACAUAAUUA